GAAAUAAUAUUUCUUUACAGUAAAAUGCUCUCGUAAUCGACCUCAAUUCUUGUCUGAACAAUUGAGUAAGUCAAUGUCGAAUUUUGGUAUCGACCAUAACGUACUGCACCGAAUUAUUGUUGGACGAAGUGAAAUCGAUUUGGGCAACAUCAAGGAAGAAUUUGCGAAAACAAAUGGCAACAGCAUCGACAUUUGGCUCAAAUCCGCAAUCGAAGGAAAUUAUUGGUCCUUAAUUGUACAACUAGCUGGAUAUGCACCAGAUUACUUUAAGAACUAAUUUUGUCGACCUGAUUAAAAUAUUACGAAUUUUUGUCGAA